ensembl:ncRNA lncRNA:CR44092 long non-coding RNA:CR44092
GCAAUUUUUUUGUUUCGUCUUGCACCUGAAUCAUUUUCGGUGUAAAAAUGUGAAUCAGUGGACAGGGGAAAUGGAAUGGAAUGGGAGAAUUAAAUGCGAACGAACGAUGUACGAACGAGUGUGCAAAGGCACAGUGAAAGAAUGCGCAGAGUUGCCACCUCGCUGGCUCAUGUGCUUACGUGUGUGUGUGUGUGUGUGCGUGCGAAUGUGUGUGUUAGUUUCUUUGCCCAUCGCAUAUAUAUAAACCAAUUCUUCACAAUAUCCAAAAAUCAAUAUAACCCAAGAACCUAUUUUUGUUGAUGUGUUUCUGUGCCGCCGCCGUCACCGCCGUGACCCUACACACCUUUGAAAAACACAUCAACAAAGUUGUUAAAUUCACUUGUAGUGAAAUUUAUUUGGGACGUGACAUCUGUUUACCCAAACUAAACAUUUUAAUUUCUAUACCUUUACUUCUUUUGAUACCCGAAAGGACGCGCGAAUUGAAAGUAAAUCAAAAAGAAUAACCCCAACAACACAGAACCUCCAGCGAGAGAG